UUGUAUGUAGUUUGUCAUCCGUUGAUUCAACGUUUUAUAACUGAUACUGGUAGAAUUUAGUGCGUUUUUCUUUCGUAUUUUAACAUAAAAUACGCAUUCUUUGAAUUUGUCAAAGAGGAAUCAUAGGAGGGUGGUGAAACGCGCUGUAUUAUGCGAGAAGAAUCAGAAGAUAUGGAUAAUUUUGUGAAUGCCUGAAAGGUGACUAGGAUCGUGAGAAAGAAAGGCCAUGGCAAUGAGAAAUUUCUAAAGUUAAGAAAAUAAUCAAAAGUUCAUUGACCCAUUUACAACAACAUGUGUAGCUAAAGUAUUGGAAUUCAGUGAUUUCCUUUUGUCCAAGCAUCACACUAACCAAAGGUCAAAUGGAGCUCUAUUAAAGCAAUAUUAAAUGUGAAAGGUUUUGUUUAUGCAGUGCCGUGGAUGCAAGAACAACUUUGCUCUCAUUCCAUCACUGGAAAGGCUUUAAAUGCCUAGCUUAAUUCAAAGAGAAGGAUGCAAAACCAGAGCCAGAGAAAGUUAAGAGUAUAUAUGCUGUGUCUAAAGUAUGGUGCAAAAAGGUUUGAGGGAAAAAAGGCAGACAUAUGACAAGUUAUGGCACCAAAGAUUAAUAAUAUUGUGCAAGUUGAGAAAACCAAGUUGAAAGCAUGUGGACAUCAGUAACUAUAUGACAUUCCAUUUUCUACUAUUUACAUGUUCUGUACAUGUAAAUAUAUUUAGUAUAAUAGCCUAGUUAUAUUUUUGCUAUUUUCUUGCACAGUCAUUUUAUUUGGUGGGAAAACUGCAGUAUGGUAA
rnacentral:lncRNA from 1 species